rnacentral:tRNA from 1 species
UGCAGCUCAGUGGUAGAGCACUUGCCUAGCAUGCAAGGAGGCCCUGGGUUCCAACCCCAGCA